rnacentral:rRNA from 1 species
GAUGAACGCUGGCGGCGUGCCUAAUACAUGCAAGUCGAGCGAACGGACGAGAAGCUUGCUUCUCUGAUGUUAGCGGCGGACGGGUGAGUAACACGUGGAUAACCUACCUAUAAGACUGGGAUAACUUCGGGAAACCGGAGCUAAUACCGGAUAAUAUUUUGAACCGCAUGGUUCAAAAGUGAAAGACGGUCUUGCUGUCACUUAUAGAUGGAUCCGCGCUGCAUUAGCUAGUUGGUAAGGUAGCGGCUUACCAAGGCAACGAUGCAUAGCCGACCUGAGAGGGUGAUCGGCCACACUGGAACUGAGACACGGUCCAGACUCCUACGGGAGGCAGCAGUAGGGAAUCUUCCGCAAUGGGCGAAAGCCUGACGGAGCAACGCCGCGUGAGUGAUGAAGGUCUUCGGAUCGUAAAACUCUGUUAUUAGGGAAGAACAUAUGUGUAAGUAACUGUGCACAUCUUGACGGUACCUAAUCAGAAAGCCCCGGCUAACUACGUG